UGACACAGCCAUUUCACCCUGCAGCCAGUUAUUCACUGAUGCUAAUAAUGGCUGAGCCUGGUCAGUACCUGGAUAGGAGACCACAUAGGAAAGCUAGGUUGCUGUUGGAA
rfam:Danio rerio chromosome 14, GRCz11 reference primary assembly.